ensembl:misc_RNA Y_RNA Y RNA
GGCUGGUCUGAAGGUAGUGAGUAAUCUCAACUGGUCACAGUUACAGAUCAAGCUCCCUAUCUACUCUCUCCCCACUUCUCACUACUGCACUUCAACUAGUCGUAA